rnacentral:rRNA from 1 species
UACAGAGGUGGCAAGCGUUGUUCGGAAUUACUGGGUCGUAAAGGGCGCGUAGGCGGCCAUCUAAGUCAAGACGGUGAAAUCCCCCGGCCUUAACCUGGGAACUGCGUCUGAUACUGGAAGGCUUGAGUAUGGGAGAGGGAUGUAGAAUUCCAGGUGUAGCGGUGAAAUGCGUAGAUAUCUGGAGGAAUACCAAUGGCGAAGGCAGCCUCGCUGGACGGUACUGACGCUGAGGCGGCGAAAGCGUGGGAGCAAACAG